UGAACGCUAGCGGUAUGCCUAACACAUGCAAGUCGUACGAAAGUUUUUAACUUAAGUGGCGGACGGGUGAGUAACACGUGAGAAUUUACCUUUAGGAGGGGGAUAACAAUUGGAAACGAUUGCUAAUACCCCAUAUGCUUUUGAGUGAAAUGGAUUUAUAUUUAUCCGCCUAGAGAGAAGCUCGCGGCUGAUUAGCUUGUUGGUAAGGUAAGAGCUUACCAAGGCGACGAUCAGUAUCUGGUUUGAGAGGACGAUCAGACACACUGGAACUGAGACACGGUCCAGACUCCUACGGGAGGCAGCAGUGGGGAAUUUUCCGCAAUGGGCGAAAGCCUGACGGAGCAAUACCGCGUGAGGGAUGACGGCCUAUGGGUUGUAAACCUCUUUUUUCAGGGAGGAAUAAAAUGACGUGUACCUGAAGAAUAAGCAUCGGCUAACUCC
rnacentral:rRNA from 1 species